rnacentral:pre_miRNA from 1 species
CACAUACUCCCUUCAUUCCGAAUUACUUGUCGCACGUAUGGAUGUAUCUAGAUGUAUUUUAGUUCUAGAUACAUCCAUUUCAGCGACGAGUAAUUUGGAACGGAGGGAGUAGUUG